AGUUGCAUUACAGGGCAAAACCUCCGUUGGCAUGCAGCCACUAAUUAGGAUGUGCAUCUCCUAUACAUAGUGUGUUCCCUGUCAAAGGAGAUUUGCCCGGCAAUCCUUGU
rnacentral:pre_miRNA from 1 species